UACGAAGGGUGCAAGCGUUACUCGGAAUUACUGGGCGUAAAGCGUGCGUAGGUGGUUUGUUAAGUCUGAUGUGAAAGCCCUGGGCUCAACCUGGGAAUUGCAUUGGAUACUGGCAGGCUAGAGUGCGGUAGAGGGCAGUGGAAUUCCCGGUGUAGCAGUGAAAUGCGUAGAGAUCGGGAGGAACACCAGUGGCGAAGGCGACUACCUGGACCAGCACUGACACUGAGGCACGAAAGCGUGGGGAGCAAGUAGG
rnacentral:rRNA from 1 species